AGCCUCUUGAAUUAAUAAAAGGUGAUGUCUGCCCGGUGUAUUCUUUAUAAACGGCCGCGAAAGUGCUAAGGUAGCAUAAUAAUUUGUCUUUUUAUUGGAGACUAGUAUGGAAGGCAUAACGAAGCUCAACUGUCUCCUAAUUUUAACCAAAAUUUUAUAAAGAAGCGAAAAAUCUUCUAUAAAUAUGAAGGACGAGAAGACCCUAUAGAGUUUUAGUAAACAUGGCUAUAAAUAGCAUCUUACUUUUAUUGGGGCAAUAAAAGAACAUUAAAAAUCUCACCUUAUAAACCCUCAAAGAGAACCAAAAAUAAACUACCUUAGGGAUAACAGCGUAAUCUCACCAGAGAGACCUAAUCAAAGGUGAGGUUUGCGACCUCGAUGUUGGACUAAGGUAACUUUUAUGUGCAGAAGCAUAAAAUAGUAAGCCUGUUCGGCUUUUUAUACCUUACAUG
rnacentral:rRNA from 1 species